AAGAUGGCAGCGCCCACGCUGCUGGUUUCGUGCGUCGUUUUAUCUGUGUGCUGUGGUAGCUUACGAACGUCGUUUUCGUUUCAAAUGUGGUGAAUGUCACUUGCUGCACCUUUCAGAAAAAACAACACUGCAUGGUCACAAACAGAACUGCAAGUUUGUUUUUGUCAAGAAAAAAGAAGAGCUUCUUAGAAUUGUGAAAAAAACAGCUAAUAGUUUGUCAAUGCAGAUGCUGAUGCUUUGGUAUCUGCUCAACAAGACUGCCCAAAUUUAACUUUUUCAAUAUGAAAAGUUCGCUUAAAGAUUCUCAGAACUUUGGAAGAAUAAAAAACAUAAAGAAGUCUAAUUCCAAAGCUGUCAUGGCUUUUCCAACUGAAGCCCCAAAACCUGAUUCUCAAAUACGAUACAGCUAUAUGAGAUGAGCACAGCUUAGAAUCGUGGCUUAGCUAAGCCAGAGUGUAUGUACUACAUCAUUUGUACUGAUUGUAUUUUUUAAGUGCAAGCAAUCUGAACGUAGAAGUUUUUCAAGCAGGUGAUUGGUGCAACUGAGAUGCUUGCAUAUAAUGUGCUGAGGGUGCAACUUUUAAUGAGAAAUUUUUCCAUGGUGUGUUUUGAAAGACCUUGUUCAUAUACCUUGGGCCACAUUAGUCUACCCUGCUGUCUAUUAAUUAUGUUUUCCGUCAGUGUACUUGCUGAUUUAAAGUGAAUGCAUACCAUGUUUCAACAUACACAUGGAAAAAUAUCUAAAGUUCUUUGUUACAUGAGAAGUUAUAUUCAUGUAACACUGUACAUGGUUCAGAAGCAUUUUGCCCUUGUAGUCUGCUUACUUCUUAGUAAGUAUAGGGGCCCCAAGCCUCUAGUAAUG